CUUGGAUAACGUGAGCCUAGAAGAGAAGAAAUGUCAUGUUCAUGAAUUCUGUGGCAUUCUUGGAAGGCUUCCACCAAAGGUGUGACCCACACAAAAUGUUCCACUGACAAACACCACUGGCUGAACAGCUGUUUGAACUGAAGGGCUAUGGAGUGAAAGACCUUUGCCUAUUUAGCAGUCUCCUAAGCAUCAUUCAGUCCUACCGAGUGACCGUGCUAUCGCCGCCCAUCGUCACCACUUGGGGCCCCGGGAUCCCUCGCUGUUGCUGAACUGUCAGCGUGGGUUGUUGCCAGUGUCUGCUGGAUAUCCGCCUCAGCACAGAUGGAACUAAUCGAGUUGUUUGAUAUGGUGUCUAUCGUUCUCAGCUGUAUAGCAACGACGACAGCAGUGUGGUAGAUGGCGAUUGUUGCUUUCUCCUCUCUCCUUCUAUCACUACGAAAUCAUUCAACAUCUUGGCCUGCAGAUGUAGUCUAGGAGAUAAGCGCUAAUGCAGAAACUCUGUUAGUUUGUCAUAACCUAAGACUUAUAAACUUUCUGUUGUUCAGUGAAUGUUGCCAAAAGCCAUAAAAGUAAAAGGGAUUAGAAGAGCAUCUGAAAAAGGUUGUAAAUAUUGAACAGCUUCAGCAUUCAC